AAUAGAUACCCGAGGUAGUCCACGCCGUAAACGAUGACGUGCUAAGUGUUAGGGGUUCCACCCGUUAGUGCUGCAGCUAACGCAUUAAGCACUCCGCCUGGGGAGUACGGUCGCAAGACUGAAACUCAAAGGAAUUGACGGGGGCCCGCACAAGCGGUGGAGCAUGUGGUUUAAUUCGAAGCAACGCGAAGAACCUUACCAGGUCUUGACAUCCCGAUGACCGCUCUAGAGAUAGAGCUUUCCCUUCGGGGACAGCGGUGACAGGUGGUGCAUGGUUGUCGUCAGCUCGUGUCGUGAGAUGUUGGGUUAAGUCCCGCAACGAGCGCAACCCUUGUUCUUAGUUGCCAUCAUUCAGUUGGGCACUCUAAGGAGACUGCCGCAGCAAUGCGGAGGAAGGUGGGGAUGACGUCAAAUCAUCAUGCCCCUUAUGACCUGGGCUACACACGUGCUACAAUGGACGGUCAAACGGUUGCGAAAUCGCGAGACGGAGCCAAUCCGAGAAAACCGUUCUCAGUUCGGAUUGCG
rnacentral:rRNA from 1 species